rfam:Triticum urartu cultivar G1812 contig1149568, whole genome shotgun sequence.
GAUCUACUCCCUCCGUCCGGAAAUACUUGUCGGAGGAAUGAAUGUAUUUAGAUGUAUUUUAGUUUUAGAUACAUCCAUUUUUAUCUAUUUCUUCAACGAGUAAUUCUGGACGAAGGGAGUAUAUA